UAAUUUAGACGUUUUAGUGUGGCGGAGUGGGAAGAUGGCUUUAACAGCGGAUUGGAUGCAUGUCCCCUCCAAUAUGCGGCUAACCGAGGGUCUGGUGUCUGUUCUGAAAGAGCAGCGGACCGAAUAUUUACCAGCACUUUUAGCGAAUUACCGGGAGCACGGCGUGUUCUCGACACAGAGUACUGGAGCUGUCGGUGGUCUCGUGGGACUCAGCAACGCCAAACUCGGCAACAGCAAAACCAAGUUCGAGGGGCUGUGUCUUCUCUCAGUGCUGGUCAAAGACAGUUCUAGUGAUGUGUUCCAACAACACUGUCUUUCAUGGCUAUGGCCCCUACAAUAGGUCAUACAGUCCCAGGACCCCGUCCGUCCAGCUAGCGGUGGGGGUCCUCCAGGACCUGCUCCAGUAUUCCUCCCAGCUACCUGAGCUGGCCAGGGAGGUGGGCCUCAACUCUAUCCUGGGGAUCCUCACCUCGCUGCUAGGCCUCAAGUCUGAGUGUCACCUAGCUGCCAUUGAGGGGAUGACUGCAUGUAUGACCUAUCCCUGAGCCUGUGGCUCCCUGAGGGACAAACUGGGACAGUGCCAACCCAAAAGUACAAGAGGUAGCAUGUGAGUGUUAUGGUCAUCUGACCUGUUUGGGCAGAGUGGUGGAGAAAGGGGGGGGCGGGCACAGAGCCGAGGGAUGGACCAAUCAGCUUCACUGCCUGCUGGCCUCGGCCAAUGGCAUACUGGCACAACUCUACCAGGGCUCUGAAUCAGGUAGAGAAUGCUUUUUCUUUCAUGAAGUGUUUCAGAGUAUGAGCGCUGAUCUAGGCUCAGUAUAGCCUUAUAGAUCGUAAUGAAUAAGAUUACAUGGUCAGGGGAGACCUGAUCCUAGAUCAGCACUCCUACUCUCAGAUGCUUUCAUGAAUGAUAAAAACAUGAAAAUUGUCUUCAGGGUUUUACAACCAGAAUGAUGCUUAUCUGCUAGGGAGGUAAUGAUUCACCGGUUCAAAUGUUUAAGAUACGAGUGCACCGGUCCACGGGAGCCCAAACCAAUGCAAAUGUAGCAUGAAGCGGUCUGAAAAUCGAUUCAAACGUAACGAUUCACUGAUGUCUUACUCAUGUAAUUUUAUUUCCCCCAUUCGAAAAUACCUCUUAUCUUUUGAGACUGAAUAGUAGCCUAUCUAACUAAGCACGUAAAUGUGUGUGACAGUCAUUGAUCUCCAAGCCAGAUGUUAACUGUGUGUGCGCACAGAGCGCAGCUGCUCAUGCCAACAAGAGCUAGGCAUAACCCCUGAUUAGGGAUGCCAAUAUUUUCCUUGCCAAAACAAAGAUACUGAUAUAAAAAAAAAUUGCU